AUGUUUUACCAGGUGUUUUGGGAAGUAGUGAAAGUUGACCUGAUUAGGUUGUUUGAGUUUUGGUUUGAUGGGAACCUGGAUUUGUUCAGACUGAACUUUGCUAUGAUUACCUUAAUCCCAAAAGAGAACGAAGCUAGAACUAUGAACAAAUUCAGACCAAUUAGUCUACUUAACUGCGUGUCUAAAAUUUUUACUAAGGUAUUGACUAACAAAUUAGCUUCCAUUAUUGGUAGACUGAUUACAGAGUGCCAGUCUGCCUUUGUGAGAGGUAGAUACAUACUGCAGAGUGUGGUGACUGCACAUGAGAUUGUGCAUGCAGUACAUUCUUCAGGGAGACAAGGGUUGGUGUUCAAAAUAGACUAUGAGAAGGCCUACGAUAGGGUUAACCUAGAUUUCCUACUCGAGCUGUUGGCUCUUGAGGUUUUGGUACUAGGUGGUUAUCUUGGAUUAGAAGUGUGA
rnacentral:rRNA from 1 species